CACGUGGUUCCACUAGUUAUGGCCCCACUCCGCGCUGAUUAGUUCACCUGUUACGCCUCGUGCUCAGUGUGCUCUGACUUACCUCUCUGCUGGGAGUAAACCCAACAGUUCGUUCUCCCCAGCAGCCGUCUAAUGUCUCCCAGGUUAACCGAGAGGUAACGAACACUUUUUGAAGUAAAACGGACCGCAAGAUCUGGACCUGCUGUCAAGAAGGAGAAACUGCGAUUCCGUGAGUAUCACAAUCGAUCCACGAAGAAGAAACUGAACUGUAAGUCCAGAUAUUUCCUCUUCAUGCUUGGGCAUUAGUUGGAUGUGGUUGGAACGGUGUGUAGGUUUAUUAUUCUUUAUUUUAGGGUUAGGUUUUAAUGAUUAGUUGUGAAUGCUGUCUCAUUAGAAUUGGUUCAGUGGAGGUUCUCAGUGAGUUUUGUUGAAUAGUAAGAAAUAGGGUUUCUCAGAGUACAGCCAGAACAUACUCCACGGUUGUGUUCAUAUUUUCGUUCAGCCCACUUCGCCUUCACUUUCCAUCUAAUAUCCCAUGCGUUUUGUCAUACUGACGAGGGUGUGGUUUGAGUGAUCAUAGAUUCAUGCUAUGGUCCCGCGUUGUCUGAAGCCUUCAGCUCUGUAGACGUGCCCCCUCAGGAGAAACCAAGUGUUAAAGAGGCCAUUGGUUACAAGAACUGGAACGUCAUUUAAGAUGGUGACAGGGGUCUCGGCUACGGAGAAACGCCCAGGGGUAGAUGCUCUUCCUCAUCUACUUGAACACAAUCUUGGUCUUGCACCAGAAAACCAUAAAGCCCCUUUCACCGUUCCCCUCCCUCAUACAUCUUGAAGCCGAAGAGAGGGCCCAACUGCAGUUAGGAAAAGGGUCUGUGUUGGGAUGUUACCGGUAUGGUGUCUGAUCUGAGUGGACCCAGCUUCCAGGGCCAGCUGGCCUCGUCCACCACUCUACAGUUCAACCUGAGGAAGGCCUGCCUCUGAGCCAGUAGAGGCCUCAUCGGCCUGCUGCUCAGAUGGGACGACGAGGAUCGUGCUAUGAAAGACCUACCACCCCAACGCUGCUCUGUUCAGACCCAGCACCCCAACGCUUCUCUGUUCACGACCAAGCACCCCAACGCUGCUCUGUUCAAGACCAAGCACCCCAACGCUUCUCUGUUCACGACCAAGCACCCCAAUGCUUCUCUGUUCAGGACCAAGCACCCCAACGCUUCUCUGUUCAGGACCAAGCACCCCGACACUGCUCUGUUCAGGCCCUGCUCCCCAAC